AUCCUUUUCUGUUUCAUAAGCAUGAUGUUUGGGUGUUUUCACACUUGUGUGACAUGUACCUCCCUUAAAUCUUGUUAUGCACUUGGCACAUUACCCAUCUGAUG